AAUGAACGUUGGCGGCAUGGAUUAGGCAUGCAAGUCGAGCGAGAAGUGUAGCAAUACACGGAAAGCGGCGGAAGGGAGAGUAAUACGUGGGAAUCUGCCCUUAGACCUGGGAUAGCAGCGGGAAACUGCUGGUAAUACCAGAUAAUGUCUAUGGACCAAAGGUGUGAUUCCGUCUAGGGAUGAGCCCACGUCCUAUUAGCUAGUUGGUAGGGUAAUGGCCUACCAAGGCGAUGAUGGGUAGCGGGUGUGAGAGCAUGACCCGCCUCACUGGGAGUGAGACACUGCCCAGGCACGUACGGGUGGCUGCGGUCGAGAAUCUUCGGCAAUGGGCGCAAGCCUGACCGAGCGAUGCCGCGUGCGGGAUGAAGGCCUUCGGGUUGUAAACCGCUGUCGAGGGGGAGCAAGAGAUGAGGGUACUCCCUCUGAUUUGAGCGAUCCUAGGAGGAAGGACGGGCUAAGUUCGUGCCAGCCGCCGCUGUAAAAC
rnacentral:rRNA from 1 species